rnacentral:tRNA from 1 species
GGGCUCAUGGCUCAGUGGUAGAGCGUUUCGUUGACAUCGAAAAGGUCGCAGGUUCGAUCCCUGCUGAGCCCA